UACGUAGGGGGCAAGCGUUGUCCGGAAUUAUUGGGCGUAAAGCGCGCGCAGGCGGUUCUUUAAGUCUGGUGUCUAAGUGCGGGGCUCAACCCCGUGAUGCAUUGGAAACUGAGGGACUUGAGUGCAGAAGAGGAGAGCGGAAUUCCACGUGUAGCGGUGAAAUGCGUAGAGAUGUGGAGGAACACCAGUGGCGAAGGCGGCUCUCUGGACUGUAACUGACGCUCCUGCACGACAGCGUGGGGAUCAAACAGG
rnacentral:rRNA from 1 species